rnacentral:rRNA from 1 species
UACGUAGGUGGCAAGCGUUAUCCGGAUUUACUGGGUGUAAAGGGCGUGUAGGUGGACCGAUCAGUCGGGUGUGAAAGCUCUGGGCUUAACCCAGAAAUUGCAUUCGAUACGGUCGGUCUUGAGUGCAGGAGAGGGCAGUGGAAUUCCCAGUGUAGCGGUGAAAUGCGUAGAGAUUGGGAGGAACACCAGUGGCGAAGGCGGCUGCCUGGACUGUAACUGACACUGAGGCGCGAAAGCGUGGGGAGCAAACAGG